UGAUACUAAGAAAGCUCUCUCCAUACC
rnacentral:piRNA from 1 species